AUGGGUGUGACGGAAGUGGAAGACGUGUUAGGUUUAGGUUCUAAUUAUUUUUAAAUAGUGAGAGUUCAAAUCUCUCCAUCCAUA
rnacentral:tRNA from 1 species